UCAUGGUGAAGGGGAAGUACUUAAGGAGAAUGAUAAUAGCACUGCUGAUAUUCGCCAUAACUGUGUAUGUUGAAUCUACAAGAAAGGACUGCCCCGUAAGAAAUGACCGACAGGCGGGCUGCUGGUACAAUGGCUAUUUUAUUAUUCGAGGUAUCACUAUGCACCUUCGAAGGCCAUGUGUAAGAGCUACGUGCAGUAAUGAUGGAACCACACUUCAAGUGAACGGGUGUCCAUUUGCGGGAGGAUCCAAUCCACACCCCGGAGCACCUUUUCCGGCAGCUAAUGCCCCAUAUCCUCUUUGCUGUCAAAAGUGUAGUGCACUUCCCGUAGGACCGUGACGAUGCAUUUGAGGAAUUAUCCUGAGCUCAAGCAAAAAUACAACGUUACAUGAGUGACAAACUAGCUAUAAGAGAGUUGAGAAUGUCACCCUUAAAUAAACUUGUUAUAAGAUUCGGU